rnacentral:rRNA from 1 species
AGAGUUUGAUCCUGGCUCAGAGCGAACGCUGGCGGCAGGCCUAACACAUGCAAGUCGAGCGGGCACCUUCGGGUGUCAGCGGCAGACGGGUGAGUAACACGUGGGAACGUGCCCUUUGGUUCGGGACAACUCCGGGAAACUGGAGCUAAUACCGGAUAAGCCCUUCGGGGGAAAGAUUUAUCGCCAAAGGAUCGGCCCGCGUCUGAUUAGCUAGUUGGUGAGGUAAUGGCUCACCAAGGCGACGAUCAGUAGCUGGUCUGAGAGGAUGAUCAGCCACACUGGGACUGAGACACGGCCCAGACUCCUACGGGAGGCAGCAGUGGGGAAUAUUGGACAAUGGGCGCAAGCCUGAUCCAGCCAUGCCGCGUGAGUGAUGAAGGCCCUAGGGUUGUAAAGCUCUUUUGUCCGGGAAGAUAAUGACUGUACCGGAAGAAUAAGCCCCGGCUAACUUCGUGCCAGCAGCCGCGGUAAUACGAAGGGGGCUAGCGUUGCUCGGAAUCACUGGGCGUAAAGGGCGCGUAGGCGGAUCUUUAAGUCGGGGGUGAAAGCCCAGGGCUCAACCCUGGAAUUGCCUUCGAUACUGAAGAUCUCGAGACCGGAAGAGGUAAGUGGAACUGCGAGUGUAGAGGUGAAAUUCGUAGAUAUUCGCAAGAACACCAGUGGCGAAGGCGGCUUACUGGUCCGGUUCUGNNGCUGGNNNNCGAAAGCGUGGGGAGCAAACAGGAUUAGAUACCCUAGUAGUCC